GACGUAGGGGGCAAGCGUUGUCCGGAUUUAUUGGGCGUAAAGAGCGUGUAGGCGGCCAUACAGGUCAGCUGUGAAAACUCGAGGCUCAACCUCGAGACGUCGGUUGAAACCGUAUGGCUAGAGUCCGGAAGAGGAGAGUGGAAUUCCCGGUGUAGCGGUGAAAUGCGCAGAUAUCGGGAAGAACACCCGUGGCGAAGGCGGCUCUCUGGGACGGUACUGACGCUGAGACGCGAAAGCGUGGGGAGCGAACAGG
rnacentral:rRNA from 1 species